AAGUCGUAACAAGGUUUCCCGUAGAAACAAGUCUUGCAAGAAAUGAUUCCUUUCCGCAGUGGUACACUUGUAGAAGCCUUUGCCAGCCACGCAAGGUGGUAGAUCUAGGCGACUUAAAACAAUUCUAGGGAUCGCUAUGCAAGUCGGGCCCGCGCAUGUGGUGCCGGCGACACUUUCGAAAUUGACGGGGAUACCCUAAAGCCUGUCGCACCAACUCUGCGUGGGAAACCGCUGGAAGGCCCGUGCUAACUACACGGGGGUGGUAACAGACGACACGGAUACCUCCACGCCUUUUUUGGUGGGGAUACCAUGGGCAAUCCGCAGCGAAGCCUCUAAGUCCGGCCGCCGGAUAUGAGGAACGUUCACAGACUAAGUGGAAGUGGGUGGAGCGUUCGCCGCUCUGCUUAAGAUAUAGUCGGUCCCCUUGGGAAACUAAGGGGGUGAGUACACUGCUCGAAAUUUAAACUUGAGCGCGUCUCGGAUAGCGCUCGUGUUAGAAUUUCGGGACCGUCGAUUGCCUCGCGGUUCGACGGCUCUUAAAACGUUCCGUAGGUGAACCUGCGGAAGGAUCAUUACAGAAAGUAAACGCGGGUCACACCGCGAACUUCUAAACCUUUGACGAUUGACUCAUGUUGCCUCGGCGGGUUCUCCCGCCAGAGGAUACAUCAAAACUCCUGUUUUAACGGUGUUGUCUGAGCUACAAGCAACGAAUCAAAACUUUCAACAACGGAUCUCUUGGUUCUGGCAUCGAUGAAGAACGCAGCGAAAUGCGAUAAGUAGUGUGAAUUGCAGAAUUCAGUGAAUCAUCGAAUCUUUGAACGCACAUUGCGCCCCUUGGUAUCCCGAGGGGCAUGCCUGUUCGAGCGUCAUUUCACCACUCAAGCCUGGCUUGGUGUUGGGCGACGUCCCCUUCAGGGACGCGCCUCGAAACGCUCGGCGGCGUGGCACCGGCUUUAAGCGUAGCAGAAUCUUUCGCUUCAAAAGUCGGGGCCCCGUCUGCCGGAAGACCUACUCGCA
rnacentral:rRNA from 1 species